UACGUAGGGCGCGAGCGUUGUCCGGAAUUAUUGGGCGUAAAGAGCUCGUAGGCGGCCUGUUGCGUCCGCUGUGAAAUCCCGGGGCUUAACCCCGGGCGUGCAGUGGAUACGGGCUGGCUGGAGGCAGGCAGGGGAGAACGGAAUUCCUGGUGUAGCGGUGAAAUGCGCAGAUAUCAGGAGGAACACCGGUGGCGAAGGCGGGUCUCUGGGCAACAACUGACGCUGAGGAGCGAAAGCGUGGGGAGCGAACAGG
rnacentral:rRNA from 1 species